GGAAGUAUGUAAGAGUGCAUGGGGGAUGCCUUGGUUUCCACUGGCGAGGAAGGACGUGGCAGGCUGCGAAAAGCUUCAGGGAGGUGCCGAGCGACCGGUGAUCUGGAGAUAUCCGAAUGGGGUAACCCGUUAUGUAGAGAUACAUAACACUAUAGCGAAGAGCUAUAGAGCGAACCUGGUGAACUGAACCAUCUAAGUAACCAGAGGAAGAGAAAACAAUAGUGAUUACCUAAGUAGUGGCGAGCGAAAGGGUAAGAGCCCAAACCAUAUAAGUUUAGGCAUAUAUGGGGUAGUAGGCCACACUAGUCCCUGAAGGGAUAAGAUAUAGGAUAUAUAGUGGAACUAACUGGAAAGUUAGGCCGCAGAGGGUGAAAGCCCCGUACACGAAAUAUUGAAUAUAUUGAUGUGUGAGCCUGAGUACUGCGAGACACGAGGAAUCUAGCAGGAAGCAGCCAGGACCAUCUGGCAAGGCUAAAUACAAGUGGAAGACCGAUAGAGGACGAGUACCGUGAGGGGAAGGUGAAAAGCAUCGUGAAUAACGAGGUGAAAUAGACCUGAAACCAUGCACUUACAAGCGGUCGGAGCCUUAUGAGAAUAGGGUGACGGCGUGCCUUUUGCAUAAUGAGCCUACGAGUUAAUUAUACUAGCGAGGUUAAUCGGAGAAAAACUGAGGAGCCGUAGCGAAAGCGAGUUUUAAAAGGGCGAAAUAGUUAGUAUAAUUAGACGCGAAACUUAGUGAUCUACCCAUGGCCAGGCUGAAGUUCAUGUAACAGUGGAUGGAGGGCCGAACUAGUGAACGUUGAAAAGUUCUUGGAUGAGCUGUGGGUAGGGGUGAAAGGCCAAACAAACUAAGAGAUAGCUCGUACUCUUCGAAAUGCCUUUAGGGGCAGCCUCAUAGGGUAAUCAAUAGAGGUAAGGCGCUGAUUGGACUAGGGGUCGCGAGACUACCGAAUCCAGACAAACUGAGAAUGCUAUUGAUGUAACUAUGGGAGUGAGGGCGUGGGUGCUAAGGUCCAUGUCCGAGAGGGGGACAACCCAGACUAUCAGCUAAGGUCCCGAAGUUAACAAUAAGUUGGAAUAAAACGAGGUCAAACUGCGUAGACAGCUAGGAUGUUGGCUUGGAAGCAGCCAUCAUUUAAAGAGUGCGUAACAGCUCACUAGUCGAGCGGGGUGGCGUGGAAAAUGAGCGGGCAUAAAUUGUUACACCGAAGCUAUAGUUAAUCUAUGAAUAAAUAGGUUAAGGUAGAAGAGCAUUCUAUUGGCGUAGAAGGAUAUUUGCGAGAAUAUCUGGAGCGAAUAGAAGAGAAAAUGUAGGCAUGAGUAACGAUAAUCACGGAUAGAAUACGUGACACCGAAAGACUAAGGGUUUCUGAUCUACGUUCGACGAAUCAGAGUUAGUCGGAGCCUAAGGAUAACUGGGUGACUGGGAGUCCGAUGGUAAACUGGUUAAUAAUCCAGUACCUAUAAUACACGAGGUGAAGGGGGGACAGAGGAGUGACAGGUUUGCGUGCUGACGGAAUAGCACGUUAAAGGGUGUAGAUAAAUACAUGGUAGGAAAAUCCGCCAAGUAUGUCGAACCUGAUAGUACCGAGAUCCGUAAGGAGAUUGGAAAAUGACCGUAAACAUACUUUCAAGAAAAGCCUCUAAACCGAUUGAGUGUAUAAUAGACCGUACCGUAAACCGACACAGGUAGUUGGGGAGAGAAUCUUAAGGUGCGCGAGAGAAUCAUGGCUAAGGAACUCGGCAAAAUAGCCCCGUAACUUAGGGAGAAGGGGUCCCACUGAGAAGUGGGCGCAGGAAGUGGCCCAGGCGACUGUUUACCAAAAACACAGGGCUAUGCAAAAUUGAAAGAUGAAGUAUAUAGCCUGACACCUGCCCGGUGCCGGAAGGUUAAAGGGAGGGGUUAUCCUUCGCAAGGAGGAGAAGCUCUGAACUGAAGCCCCGGUAAACGGCGGCCGUAACUAUAACGGUCCUAAGGUAGCGAAAUUCCUUGUCGGGUAAGUUCCG
rnacentral:rRNA from 1 species